CGGCAGCACAGAGGAGCUUGCUCCUUGGGUGGCGAGUGGCGGACGGGUGAGGAAUACAUCGGAAUCUACUCUGUCGUGGGGGAUAACGUAGGGAAACUUACGCUAAUACCGCAUACGACCUACGGGUGAAAGCAGGGGAUCUUCGGACCUUGCGCGAUUGAAUGAGCCGAUGUCGGAUUAGCUAGUUGGCGGGGUAAAGGCCCACCAAGGCGACGAUCCGUAGCUGGUCUGAGAGGAUGAUCAGCCACACUGGAACUGAGACACGGUCCAGACUCCUACGGGAGGCAGCAGUGGGGAAUAUUGGACAAUGGGCGCAAGCCUGAUCCAGCCAUACCGCGUGGGUGAAGAAGGCCUUCGGGUUGUAAAGCCCUUUUGUUGGGAAAGAAAUCCAGCCGGCUAAUACCUGGUUGGGAUGACGGUACCCAAAGAAUAAGCACCGGCUAACUUCGUGCCAGCAGCCGCGGUAAUACGAAGGGUGCAAGCGUUACUCGGAAUUACUGGGCGUAAAGCGUGCGUAGGUGGUUAUUUAAGUCCGUUGUGAAAGCCCUGGGCUCAACCUGGGAA
rnacentral:rRNA from 1 species